AAAUUGAAGAGUUUGAUCAUGGCUCAGAUUGAACGCUGGCGGCAGGCCUAACACAUGCAAGUCGAACGGUAACAGGAAGCAGCUUGCUGCUUCGCUGACGAGUGGCGGACGGGUGAGUAAUGUCUGGGAAACUGCCUGAUGGAGGGGGAUAACUACUGGAAACGGUGGCUAAUACCGCAUAACGUCGCAAGACCAAAGAGGGGGACCUUCGGGCCUCUUGCCAUCAGAUGUGCCCAGAUGGGAUUAGCUAGUUGGUGAGGUAACGGCUCACCAAGGCGACGAUCCCUAGCUGGUCUGAGAGGAUGACCAGCCACACUGGAACUGAGACACGGUCCAGACUCCUACGGGAGGCAGCAGUGGGGAAUAUUGCACAAUGGGCGCAAGCCUGAUGCAGCCAUGCCGCGUGUAUGAAGAAGGCCUUCGGGUUGUAAAGUACUUUCAGCGGGGAGGAAGGUGUUGCGGUUAAUAACCGCAGCAAUUGACGUUACCCGCAGAAGAAGCACCGGCUAACUCCGUGCCAGCAGCCGCGGUAAUACGGAGGGUGCAAGCGUUAAUCGGAAUUACUGGGCGUAAAGCGCACGCAGGCGGUCUGUCAAGUCGGAUGUGAAAUCCCCGGGCUCAACCUGGGAACUGCAUUCGAAACUGGCAGGCUUGAGUCUUGUAGAGGGGGGUAGAAUUCCAGGUGUAGCGGUGAAAUGCGUAGAGAUCUGGAGGAAUACCGGUGGCGAAGGCGGCCCCCUGGACAAAGACUGACGCUCAGGUGCGAAAGCGUGGGGAGCAAACAGGAUUAGAUACCCUGGUAGUCCACGCCGUAAACGAUGUCUACUUGGAGGUUGUGCCCUUGAGGCGUGGCUUCCGGAGCUAACGCGUUAAGUAGACCGCCUGGGGAGUACGGCCGCAAGGUUAAAACUCAAAUGAAUUGACGGGGGCCCGCACAAGCGGUGGAGCAUGUGGUUUAAUUCGAUGCAACGCGAAGAACCUUACCUGGUCUUGACAUCCACAGAACUUUCCAGAGAUGGAUUGGUGCCUUCGGGAACUGUGAGACAGGUGCUGCAUGGCUGUCGUCAGCUCGUGUUGUGAAAUGUUGGGUUAAGUCCCGCAACGAGCGCAACCCUUAUCCUUUGUUGCCAGCGGUCCGGCCGGGAACUCAAAGGAGACUGCCAGUGAUAAACUGGAGGAAGGUGGGGAUGACGUCAAGUCAUCAUGGCCCUUACGACCAGGGCUACACACGUGCUACAAUGGCGCAUACAAAGAGAAGCGAUCUCGCGAGAGCAAGCGGACCUCAUAAAGUGCGUCGUAGUCCGGAUUGGAGUCUGCAACUCGACUCCAUGAAGUCGGAAUCGCUAGUAAUCGUGGAUCAGAAUGCCACGGUGAAUACGUUCCCGGGCCUUGUACACACCGCCCGUCACACCAUGGGAGUGGGUUGCAAAAGAAGUAGGUAGCUUAACCUUCGGGAGGGCGCUUACCACUUUGUGAUUCAUGACUGGGGUGAAGUCGUAACAAGGUAACCGUAGGGGAACCUGCGGUUGGAUCACCUCCUUACCUUAAAGAAGC
rnacentral:rRNA from 1 species